CAUGUCCUUUUUGAUAUUAAUUUAAGGUCUAACCUGCUCAGUGAAGUUUAAAUAGCCGCAGUAUUUUAACUGUGCAAAGGUAGCAUAAUAAUUAGUUUCUUAAUUAGAAACUGGAAUGAAUGGUUGGACAAGAAGAUUUCUGUCUCUUUUUUAAUAUUUUUGAAUUUUAUUUUUAAGUGAAAAAGCUUAAAUUUAUAUAAAAGACGAGAAGACCCUAUAGAGUUUUAUAUUUAAUUAAAAUAAGAUGAUAGUAUAUUAAUUUUUAUUUAUUUAUUUGGUUGGGGUGACUAGAAGAAAAAUAUAAUUCUUUUAAAUUGUAAUUGGAAAUUUUCAAUUUUUAAAUCUAUAAUUUGUAAAAUUAAAAUAAAUUACCUUAGGGAUAACAGCGUAAUUUUUCUUUAAAGUUCUUAUUAAAAGGAAAGUUUGCGACCUCGAUGUUGGAUUAAAAUUAAUUUUUGGUGCAGUAACUUAAAAAUUAGGUCUGUUCGACCUUUAAAAUUUUACAUGAUCUGAGUUUAAACCGGUGUGAGCCAGGUUGGAUUCUAUCUUUAGAAAAAUUUUAUAUUUUAGUACGAAAGGACCAAAUAUAAAUUAUAUUAAUUG
rnacentral:rRNA from 1 species